CCCUUAGAUGUUCUGGGCCGCACGCGCGCUACACUGAUGCAUUCAACGAGUCUAAAACCUGCUCUGAUAGGGGUGGGUAAUCUUUUGAAUGUGCAUCGUGAUUGGGAUAGAUGAUUGCAAUUUUUCAUCUUCAACGAGGAAUGCCUAGUAAACGCAAGUCAUCAGCUUGCAUUGAUUACGUCCCUGCCCUUUGUACACACCGCCCGUCGCUCCUACCGAUUGAAUGAUCCAAUGAAUAUCAUGGAUUGAGGAUGCAAGUAGGUUCGCCUAUCUUCAUCUUCGAGAAGUGAAGUAAAUCUUAUCAUUUAGAGGAAGGAGAAGUCGUAACA
rnacentral:rRNA from 1 species